UACCCAGUAAUUUUAUCUAACAUAAAUUUAUUUGAGCACUCUCAAAUUUGAGCCAUAUGAGAUAAUUAUGUUGUCAAGUAGAAUGGUAGAAUAUAAUUAGGAAAAAUUUAUGAAGAAACAAAGAGAGAGUCGGAAGUAUCUUUUGAGUGAUGUGUAUUUGGCUAUAAUUUAACCGGCUGGCUGCAUAGAAAUGUGGUUUCUCUAGACAAAGACGGUGAGCUCUCUCUAUGUGAUACUUUCUGAAGACCCAAUACCUACGUACCGACCUCCUGCAGCCGCAGAUACAGAAAGUAUGGAGUUGUCAAUCCAGCAAAGUGGAACAAGAUCGUCAUUGUGCUGCACGUGAAAAGGACGAACUCUUGCGACAAGUUAUUAUCAAGCGUUACGAACUCGUUAUGACCUAAAAUGAAGAUAGCAAACUCAGAAUAAACAAGAGAAUCACAACAUGUGAACACGUGUAUAGUCGAUACAGUAGCUAUUCUUUGAAUGGUUAUCGCUUGCGUUAAAUAAAAUCUUUAAAAUAAUUUGUAUUUUUCUUCAAAA